rnacentral:misc_RNA from 1 species
UGCCAGUGUAGCUCCAAGAGCAUCUGCAAAGAAAAAGAAAUCGAUAAAGAUGAGAAGGCAUACUCACAUCCACAUUAAUGUCAAAAAAGUUUUCCUAAAUUUACAAGGUCCAAAGGACUAAAGAAUAUAUUAGUACUGCUAAGCAGGAGCCCUAAUUAAAAUCCCUAAUAUCUCGAUCCCCUUGUUUGGAAUGGAGAACUUUGUAAGAAUUCAAUUCAAUUUA